CAACAGGGAUUGCCCCAGUAACGGCGAGUGAAGCGGCAACAGCUCAAAUUUGAAAUCUGGCUCUCGGGCCCGAGUUGUAAUUUGUAGAGGAUGCUUUUGGUGAGGUGCCUUCCGAGUUCCCUGGAACGGGACGCCAUAGAGGGUGAGAGCCCCGUCUGGUUGGACGCCGAACCUCUGUAAAGCUCCUUCGACGAGUCGAGUAGUUUGGGAAUGCUGCUCUAAAUGGGAGGUAUAUGUCUUCUAAAGCUAAAUACCGGCCAGAGACCGAUAGCGCACAAGUAGAGUGAUCGAAAGAUGAAAAGAACUUUGAAAAGAGAGUUAAACAGUACGUGAAAUUGUUGAAAGGGAAGCGCUUGUGACCAGACUUGGGCUUGGUUGAUCAUCCGGGGUUCUCCCCGGUGCACUCUUCCGGCCCAGGCCAGCAUCAGUUCGCCCUGGGGGACAAAGGCAUCGGGAACGUGGCUCUCUCCGGGGAGUGUUAUAGCCCGUUGCGUAAUACCCUGCGGCGGACUGAGGUUCGCGCAUUCGCAAGGAU
rnacentral:rRNA from 3 species